CUACAUUCUAAAUUAUACGCGACUUACUAAUAAUCAUUUAUGCAACUAAAAAGUAUUAUAGACAAUAUCUACAGAGACUGAUUUCUAAACACAUUUAUUGUAGUUUAAGGACAGAGGUAGUUAUACUCGUUCUGAUCAAAACAAAACCUUUAAUUUGCUCUAUAUGUCUGUCAAACCCUAAUUCACCUCUUUCAUGCUAAGUGCUCACAUACUUAUGUUAUAUGAUUUUGUUGAGGACAAAAAGGGGUUUCUUUUUACAUCAAAUAUUCAUAUAUGAAAAAUAAGUUAAAACAAAUAAAAUCUUAAAAAGUGCGAGAAAUUAACACAUUUUACUAUAUUCUUAGUCCAGCAUGUCAAUUUAACUGUGAAUGUCAUAAUACUGUCAGAUUUUACUGCAAUAAAAUACACAUAUUUGUAUUCAGCGAUGUCUCCUGAAUAUAACAGUGCCCCCCAUGUACAGGUUUAAUGGUGUCUUGGAAAGUUACAAUGCCUACUAUGUUUACAGCCACGUUCAGCUUAUAUUAACAUGAAAUGCGGAAAGCAUUUGCACAUUCCCUGGUACUUGAAGGAGCAGAAUUCCUACUUACCUGCGAGGUAAUGAUGGGGAAACAUAAUUUUUACUAGAAACAUGCUCGAGCCGUGAUGAAUUCUCCGUUAG